rnacentral:tRNA from 1 species
GCUGAUAUGGCUCAGUCGGUAGAGCGUCGCCUUGGUAAGGCGGAGGUCACGGGUUCAAUUCCCGUUAUCAGCU